rnacentral:rRNA from 1 species
UACAGAGGGGGCAAGCGUUGUUCGGAAUUACUGGGCGUAAAGGGCGCGUAGGCGGCCUUCUAAGUCGAACGUGAAAUCCCCGGGCUCAACCCGGGAACUGCGUCCGAUACUGGAAGGCUUGAAUCCGGGAGAGGGAUGCGGAAUUCCAGGUGUAGCGGUGAAAUGCGUAGAUAUCUGGAGGAACACCGGUGGCGAAGGCGGCAUCCUGGACCGGCAUUGACGCUGAGGCGCGAAAGCCAGGGGAGCAAAGCGGGAU